UACGUAGGGGGCAAGCGUUGUCCGGAAUCAUUGGGCGUAAAGCGCGUGUAGGCGGCCUUGUAAGUCCGUUCUGAAAGUCCGGGGCUCAACCCCGGGAGGCGGAUGGAUACUGCAAGGCUCGAGUACGGAAGAGGCGAGUGGAAUUCCCGGUGUAGCGGUGAAAUGGCGCAGAUAUCGGGAGGAACACCAAUGGCGAAGGCAGCUCGCUGGGACGUUACUGACGCUGAGACGCGAAAGCGUGGGGAGCAAACAGG
rnacentral:rRNA from 1 species